UCUGUCUGGUUUUGAAAUGCGGUGUUUUUCUAACCCCAGAGUAACACAGCAUAGCCCUGGCUAACACGUAUUUCCGGGGUCUGCGUGCCUGUUAGCAGCAGAAACAGGCACAAAUGUAGGAGAACGGGUAAUCCAGAAGAAAGAAACACUCAUUGAAGUACAUAAAGACAGGGGGUUAGAGAAAAACAUAAAAAGAGAAAGAGAAAUAUUUUUAGAAAUUUUUAAAGUUUACUUAUUUUUGAGAGAGAGAGACAGAGCACGAGUGGGGGAGGGGCAGAGAGAGAGGAAGACCUAGAAUCUGAAGCAGGCUCCAGGCUCCGAGCUGUCAGCACAGAGCCGGACGCGGGGCUCGAACUCACAGACCGUGAGAUCGUGACCUGAGCCGAAGUCAGGCACUUCACGGACUGAGCCACCCAGGCGCCCCGAGAAAUAUUUUUAAAGGGAGGUAUUCCCACUUAGAAGAUUUGUUUGUUUGUUUUAAAUCACCUACUCUAUUACUCAGAGAUAAGCCUUGUUCAUAUUUCUCCUUCCUGUCUUUUUUUGGUGUUACGCUUUUGGGAUCAGACUGCACAGAAAGUUUCGUAUCUUGGUUGUUUCACGUAGCCCUAUUUGUGGGUUAUUUCCCCGUGUCAUUGAGUCGUGAUUUAACGCAUACUUUUUGAACGGAUUGCCCAGUAAUCUGUUGAGCUGCUCUAUCAAAACUUUCUGGACACAUCCCCUACUGUUAGAUGUUCAGGUUGUUUCUACCGCGGGGUGAGUGUAAACAGGGCUGCAGUGAGCAUCCCAGAGUGCUGCUUGCGUCCCUGCUGUCUCUAAGAAUUGGCUAGAUCUGGGAGAGGUGGUCUCUGCCGGGUGAGUGAGGCCACAAAUGCCAGAGCAUCAAGAACAGAGAACACAAGAAAAUACAGUUAAUGCAGUUGGCUGUGAUGAAUGUGUGCCAAACAAACAGAUACAGAAUCUAAGAAAACACAGAACACUCUCCCAGGUGAGAUUUCUAAUAAGUUUCCAUUUCAAUUACAAAUUAUCUCUGUUACUUAUUGUAGAAGUACCUUCCGGGUGCUGGAGCAAAGGUAAAUCAAUCAUGGCGACUCUACCAACAAGUUUAGGAGUUGAGUUGAGAUGGGAGACGGGCACAUGCACAGUUAUGAGCGAACUGAAGUUCCGGGGGGGGGGGGGGGGGGAUCAAGGGAAAGAAGACGCGUCCUCGAAUCCCUAUUCUGCUCCUUCCCAGCUAAGUGCCCUUGGACAUAUGGCUUAGCCCCUCAGAGCUUCUCUUAUGGGUAGAAUGGUGGUAGUGAUCCCUCCCUCCAUCCCUCCUCCCUCCAGCCAUGUAGAUCAAUGAAAAAGCACCUAGCCCACGCAGGAGGCAUGCGGGAGGUGCUUGACUCACGAGUGCCUGGGGUUUACAAAGAGGAACAGAGGCAGGUGCCCAAAGCGGAGGAGCGUGUAGUUAAUUGUGCCUAGGGAGAGAGGAAGUUGCUUCCUUCCACCUUGAUUUGGUUAAGGCUAUUUGGGUUGCAGGGAAUAAAAACCCAUUUCAGAGGCGCUGAGACAAAAGGGAAAACUAUUAUAAUAAGACUACAAGGUAGUUCCUGCCACCAGAGGUAAGAAGGGCAAGGAGAUUAGAACAAAUUGGAACUCCUCCCCCGCCUUUGACAGAGGGAAGACCCGAUUGGCCAGUUUGGGUCAGGUGUCUACCCUGGUCCAAUCUGUGGUGGGCAGGUGGGUGGAGUCUCACACAGCAGACAGGUUUCUGGGGCUCCCUCCUUGUAUGCGGCUCUCAGAGAAAAGUGGUUAUGUGGGCUGGGCAGGCUGCCCCCAAAUCAUCUCUUAUAUUUGGGGCAAGGAAAACGUUAAGAGGGCCCAAGUGCAAGUUUAUCAAUGAGGUGAAGUUAGGAGCACGCCGUUUGAAUUGCAGCGCUGCUCUCUGCCCUGGUUGUUGGGGCGGGGGGGGGGGGGGGGCUGUGAAAGGGAGCCCAAGAGGCCAGCUGCCCAGAAGGCAGCAUCGCAAGGGGUUGCCGGCACUGGAAGCUUGGCCUCAGCCUGGAAGAGUCAGGCCUCAGUUUCUUGUGUUUAGCGAAUAGGCAUUUCAGCUGAGCACCUGCUCUCCCUGCCUGUGUGGGGUGGGCGGGGCUGUAUAAACCAUCGAGCUCUCUCUUCCCUGAAGGAGUUUGCAGUCUGGGAGGGAGGUGGGGGAAGCUAUUUUUAUCAGUGCCUUAGCCUUCGGGACAAAUUUGAUACAAAAGUAGAGCUAGGAGGGGUGUUACCAGCAUGGCCUUUAGACUCAGAGAGACCUGUCUUCAAGGCCCAGCUCUCUCACUAUCUGUCAUUGUAACUUGGGGGAAAGGCAUGCAACUUCUCUGCAGGUCAGUUUUAAAUCCACCCUACAUGGCGGUUGCGACCAUGACCUGAACUUACAGAUGUAGGAAACUGAAGCUGCCUGUAUCCUCCCCUGUCUCUACUGAUAGAAAUCCUACGUAUUCUUCCAGCUCCAGCUCAGGUAUCACCUUUGGCAGUUUUCCUAGCAGGAAAAUAUAGGUCCUUUGUCACACUUCCAUAGCCCAUUCCCAGUUCCUGUAGUAAUCAUCACGAUCAUAGCAGCAGCUAACUUGUGUUGACUGUUUACUAUAUGACAGGGACUGUGCUAAUCCUUACAGGGCCCCUCAAGGUAGGUAUUAUUACAAUCCCCUUUUACGUAUUAGGAAACUGGCACAGAGCGGUUAAUUAACUUGCCCAAGGACACACAGUCAGUAGGUAGUAAAGCUGGGAUUCGAAUUGAGUGUGUGCAUUGCCAAGGCCCUUGCUUUUAUCCAUGGCUCCCUGCUGCCUGCAUUGGGCCCACCACUCUGCCAGGCCCCUUCUCUCCCUGACACUGGUUAGUAAGUAUUGAAAUGGCAAUCCUGGGGAAGAUAAUGCCUCCCCUGCUGGAGAAGGUAAGCAUCAGGGAGCUGGCCUGAAGCCAGGUUACAGAAGUAGCAGAGCCUGGAGAGCCAGGCAGCUGCCUCUCUUGUAUUUGAAUAUGAGUAACCCUCAGAGCAAGCCAGAAUGCAAUUCAUACUGAAUUGUUGGCAGUUUUAAGCCCAAGGGAUUGUGGGAGGUGAGUUUAAAUAGCAAGUAAUGACUGGUCUUGUCACCGUGAUAUUUAAAUAGAGGCUCUUGUUGGCAGAUGUAAAGCAGAUGUUAGAACGGGAGAUCUGAGCUGAGGUUUCACUCGGCAAGGUUUCCUACCUCUGGGACCUUUGGCUGCUUUUCUGGAAACCGUUUACUUUUUUUCCAGAGUCGUAGCUGGCACCAAAAAGGUCCUUAGAGCUAUUGCUAAGAAUAGUGAUAAUAAAAAUGAUAAAAAAUAAUGAUAGUAACAAGCUAGAAUUGUUUUAGUACUUUUUUAUGUGCCAGGUGAUGUUUCAACAUGUACGUUAUUUCAUGUAACAUGACAUUCCCAACAUGGUUUAUAAUCCUCCAUUUUUCAGAGGGGAAGCCAAAGCUCAGAGAGUUAAGGUAAUUCCCCUGAAGUCAUACAGCAGUAAGUGGCACAGGCAGGACCCAGCCCAGGACUUCUGGUCUUCAAAAUCCACACAGGGAAGCUGAAGCAGAGAGAGAAGUGACCUUGAUUUUGCUGCCCCACCCUUGACAUUGAGGUCUGUUGAAGCCACGCCAAGAAAGCAGCUGAGUUUGAAACCUUGCUGCCUGCUUGUAGUGUGGCCCUCACCCUCCUUCCCUCUCCAGCAGCCCUUCCCAUUCAGAGGCUGCACUAUGAGUACAGGGACCAAAAGUCCUGGCUUGUGCCUCACGGCCACGUAUAUUAAUAGAGCCCCCUUUCGUUUUCAAAGCGUCCCAGUUGGGUCCACCUGUGUCCUCAAUAUAAGGUUCCUGAUAGUUGGGAGGCCUCACUGCUUCCUCACCUGUAUAUAUGGGACCAAAGUGCUGGGGACACCUGUUAAGGUCCGGCCCUGCCGCUUGCUCACUCUGACUUUGGCCAUGUCUUGGUCUUUCUCGGGCAGUUGAAAUUCUCCACUGGCAGGAGCCCCCAUGGAGGUAUUUGCCUCCAAAUGAGGCUGGCCCUUGCCUCUUUCCUCCCUUCUCUUCCACCUCAGUGGACUCUGCCCAAUGAAGUCGAGAGCCAGUUGGGCGCCAAUUCGGUGUUGCCUCAGCGGCAUCGUCCCCAUCUGACAUCGCGGGCGGAGGAACUCAGGAUCCAAAGAUAUGGCAGGUGAAGAUGCUGGCCUGAGGCCACCACCAGGCAGUUCUCCCAACCUGCCCCUCAGUGGGGCAGGAAUCUGUUUUAGUCUUGAGACAGAGUCACGGAGUCCAAGGUCAAAUCCCUGUUCUGGGUUAGCCAUCCACGUGGACUUGUUCAACACUUCCCCCUUUAAAUGACUUCUGUGAACACACCUGGUGUGGUUCCUCUGCAAAAAGAGGAAGUCGGUGAAGCCACCCAGGCCCCACCCCUCAUUCCCUCCCUACCAGCAGACCCAGACACCCCCAUUUUGCAGUUUUCCAGCUCUGAGGUUUGGAGGCGGAGCUUAACGUCAGGAGUUCUGCCGGUUGUCACCUCGACUCUGAAUCGCCUCUCGCCACACACUUGAGGGCUGCUAAUAGGUGUACGUUCAAACUGUGUAACCCCUGGGCCGGUGGCAUCGCCUUUGCCUGACUUUCAAUGCUCACAAAAUUGAAUCAAGCACCACUUCACAAGGGCUUGGGGCAUAAUUAACGUUGAUGAAGCCCUUUGAAAUGCCUGGAUGAAAGGGCAUUUAAUUAUAUUGCGCUGUUACUAACCAGGUCUGUCUGUAGCCAGUUGUUAUGCGUGGAGAUUGAUAUGCUUGUGGAAAUGGCUUUUAAAAGAAACCCCAGCUGCCUGUGUCACUAGUGGGAAUGUAGCACUCCCGAGGCAGGGUUGUCUUUUUUUCCUAAUUUACCUGGGCCGCCUUUGAAGGGCACCUCAGAGAACACAGUGGGAGACAGCCCGGAGGAAUAGUGACCGUCGGGAGACUGGAAGUCAGACCUGGAGCGACACAGAGCCUCCUGUCCCCACCUCUGCCAAGUUUUUACAUUUCUUUGGGCCUUACUUUGUUCACGUGUAAAGUCCUUCCAACCCGUGUGCCGAACCUAGGACUCCUGACAGUACACACUUCGUAGGUGGGUUAUCGCCCAAAGGCAACGCAUGGAAAGGGUUUCACGCCACACCUAAUGUGUAUAUAUAAAAACACUCCGUAAAUACCGUCCUUGAUUAUCAUAGUAACCUUUUAACCUUGUUUUUCUGCUGCUUAGCCUGCUUAUGAUUUUUUUUAAGUUUAUUUAUUUAUUCUGAGAGAGAGAGAGGGAGAGGGAGACAGAAUCCCAAGCAGGCUCCACACUCAGAGCCUGACAUGGGGCUCAAACCCGCAAACCCACGACAUCACGACCUGAGCCGAGAUCAAGAGUCGGAGCCACCCAGGAGCCCCUACGGUUUUUAUUUCUAGGUUUGGGCCCUCACCAUCCUCCUCCCCGAAAUAGUAUUGACUUGUCUACAUGGCCACAGGGGCUCAUUUCCCUUCUUGAUCUCUUUACUUCCACCUGGCGAGUGGUUAGCACACUCUUCGGGCAGCCUUGUGGACCUCAUCGGCAUUGCAUCUGAGGACAGCUUAGUCUCUUGCAGUAAAAAUAAAAUAGCUACCAGUUACAGGUUGAACCAUAUGAAACUACCAUUUUGUAUGGGUCCAAGUGGCAAAAUAGUGGCAUUUUCCUCCAGCUCACCCUAGUUCCAAGUUACCGAGGUAAGUGCUUUCUCCCAACUAUCUCAGGAAGUCCACGCACCAGCUCUGAGAGAGGGGCACUGCUGACCCAGCUAGCGAGGAGGUGAAGCAAAUCCCCCAGCCCGCCCUUGAACCUGCAGCCGCGUGAUCCCCACGUGCCCUCUGAGAAGCCCUCACUGUGGUCUCCGCUUUCUGCACAACUCCCAGAGCCUGGUUCCAGCUCCCCUUUGUCCCCCAUAAAGGAAAUAAGGCAGCUGUGAGGUGUUGUGGGAGCCAGAACCAGGGUCCUUCUGUCUCCUCUCUGCCCAAAGCAGUCGCUGUAGAAUCACUGCCAGUUAACUCUUUGAACCAUUAAUCAUUAGCAUAGAUAAACUGACUUUCUGCGCCGAGUGCCUGCCUGGCCCCCAGGUCUCUGCCUCCUUGAGGAUGAGUUCCUUGCUCUGUAGCCUUAAUGAGCUACACUUAAUGAAGGGCUUCCUUUGGGGUCUUCAGACUUGACCCUCUAAAGAAACACCUUGUGUUUCCUCAUUCAUUUCUUUGGUUGACAUCUAAGACAUAAAACUUGUGUCACAAGUUUAUAUUUGCAAAGUGUGUCGUUUCUAGCACAUUUUAAUACAAGUAUUUUUUUUAUAGCCCCUGAGAUAUAAAGCCCACGUGAUAUCUACCAUCAGCCUUCGGAACAAACUCCUUUUUAUUUUAUUUUUUUAUUUUGAGAGAGAGAGAGAGUGCGCACGCAUACGAGUGGGGGAGAGGGAGAGAGGGGAGGGGGGGGAGGGAGAGGGAGAGGGAGGGAGGGAGGGAAUCUUAAGCAGGCUCCACGCUCGGUGUGGAGCCUGACAGACUCCAUCCCCUGACCCUGGGAUCGUGACCUGAGCCAAAACCAAGAGUCAGGCACUCAACCAACUGAGCCCCCCCCCAGGAGCCCCUGAAAAAGCUCUUCCUUAGCAGUCGGAAAUUUUUACGUCAUUCCUGUUUGUCCCUAACUUUGUAUUUUCCCGACCUUUCCCCCACAGAAUUUUGUCCCCAAACAGUGUCUGUGUUUUAACACUUAAAAAUUAUAUGGACGCAUAUCCUACUUGUGUACAAGAAAGGAUGUAAAAUAGGCGAUCGAAUUUCACUUUGUUAAUAUUUCCUUUGGCAUAAGGUUUGUGAAAUAACAAAAAUUCAACCAAGUAAAUUUUGUAGAUCUAAUUGGCUUUAUUAAUUGAUUCAUGAAUCAGGCAGCAUCACAUCCAGCAAGUAGAGAGGAGCUCCAAAGGGCUACAGAAAGGGAAGCGGUUUUAAAAGCAAGACAAGAAAGUUAUAAACAGAAAAAAGGACUAUUUCAGGUGAGAUGACCUUUGGGGACAAACGGGUCUUAUUAGGUGGAUUGUGUCAUCUUCCUUUGGGGGAUAGAGAGAGUCUAUGUGACAGAGUACUUUACUGGUGUUGACCAGAAGCUUCCUGACUGACCAGUUAAGACUACAUUUCUGGGGGAGGUUAGAACUUCAGUUAGGGGAGGUAUUAAGCCCCAGUUUGGUGAGUUGGCCUAAGUGAGGCCAUUUUGGGCCUCUGGCUUUCUUUUUAACAUGUUCAGAAAUAACUGAUUCAACCCAGAAGCUUUUUAUUGAUACAAUUGAAUAAAAGCAAUUGAUUAAUGUAAUAUAAAGUUUUAUAAUAAUUAUCAAGCAUAAAAUAACACAUGAAGAAUGAAUAUCUGGGGGUACCUGGGUGUCUCAGUCAGUUAAGUGUCCAACUUCAGCUCAGGUCAUAAAUUCACAGACCAUGAGUUUGAGCCCUGCAUCAGGCUCUGUGCUGACAGCUCAGAGCCUGGAGCCUGCUUUAAUUUCUGUGUUUCCUUCUCUCUCUGCCCCUCCUGCCCCUCACUUUCUCUCUCUCUUUUCUCUCUCUCAUAAAUAAAUAAAUAAUUCAAAAAAAUUAAAAAAAAAUUUUUUUAAAUGAAUAUCUGAAUGAGAAUGGGACUUUGUUUUUAAUAUUCAAGACAAAUAUUACUGAUGGCUAGAAUGGGACAGAUUUUAGCAUCAGUUCUGUUGCAGGUUUGGGGUGUUAUAGCUAGAGGUGCUGAGAACGUGUUCACAGAAGUACCUAGAAUGGAAGGAAUGUUGUUAUGGCAGCAUCCCUAAAUUCUUUCAAUUCCUCCGAAGUUUCGUGCUAAAAAUCACAUAGUGAUAACCUAUUUUUAUUGACUUAUCAGCUAACAAUAUGAGGAGAGCCUCUUUCAGCUUCAUUCAAAACAAAGUACUAUAUACAUUUCAUUUACCACAGUACUUGUUUGGCUUUCACAGUGUAGGUUCCCUCUCCUUGUAGAUUCUUUGGCUGGUCUAAUAAUUAAAUUGACAUAAGAUAGAUUCCACAAGAGAAAAAUUUAAUGUCAUACAUAUGGAGGCCCCAAAGAAGUAACCAAAGCUGGUAACUUUCAUACCUUUUAGACAAUAAAUUUGUGAAGAAUUGAUAAGACAAAAGGGGUUGGGCUUUGGGUAGUAAAUUAGUGAAGUAGUAGCAAGUUUUGUUUAUACAGGCUUCUUGGCCUUAAAUUUCCUAUCUCUGGUGAUAAGAAUGUCUUUCUUCCUUCUGGUACAUACUGGAAAGGUACCUUUCACAUGGAGACUUAUUUCCCACUUUCAGGGGGACAAAUGGGGCCUCAGAGUAUCCUUCUUGUACUGGCUGUUUCUUAAGUAACUUUAAUUCAAAAUAAUCAGUAUGCCAAAGUGAUAUAUUUUGGGGUGACCUAUUUUGUUCCUCCUCAGUAAGUUCUGUGACAUUGACCAAAAAGGCAUUAUCAAUUAUGCUGAUAAGUUUUCACUUAGAGGCACAUUGGGUUAACCUGAUAUAUCCAGAAAGGGUUGGGGAAAUUGAAAUCUUGUUGAUUUUACUACAUCUUUGCCUAUACAGUAUUUCAAUACAUGUAUUUUAAUUACAGUAUGUGAUACAAAUACUUACUAUUUACUAAAUACUAAAUUUACUAUUAUAUGUACUAUAAUAUUUGUACAUAUAAUUGCAAUUAUAAAUGCCUUAUCACAUGCUUGAAUAUGGCAAUUAUAAUCCCUAACACAAUCACUAAGAAAAUAACUCAAAAAUAGUCAAAGAAAUUAUAAGGGAAUUAAAAUGGUACACUAAGAAAUAUAUCUCUUUAACACAAAAGAAGGCAGUAAUGGAGAAACUGAGGAACAAAAAAAAAGAGACAUGACAUAUAGAAAACAAAACAGUAGAAAUCCUUCUUUAUCGGUAAUUACAUUAAAUGUAAAUGAAUUAAACUCUCCAAUUAAAGGGGACAGAUUGGCAGAAUAGAUUUUUUAAAAAACACAAUCCAAGUAUAUGCUAUUUACAAGAUACUCACUUUAGAUUCAAAGACAAAAAAAGAUUGAAAAUAAAAAAGUGGGAGAAGAUAGUCCAUGCAAACAAUAACCAAAAGAGAGCUGAACUAGCUAAACUAACAUCAGACAAAAUAGACUUUAAGAUGAAAAUUAUUACGAGUGACAAAGAAGAACAUUACAUAAUGGUAAAAGAGUCAAUCUAUCAAGAAGAUAUAGCAAUAAUAAAAUAUAUACACCAAAAUACAUGAAGCAAAAAUUGACAGAAUGGAAAGAAGAAACAGGCAGUCCAGCAGUUAUCAUUGGAUACUUCAGGACCUCACUAGCAGUACCUCACUGUCAAGAAAAUGGAAGACUUGGGGGCGCCUGGGUGGCUCAGUCGGUUGAGCGAACGACUUCGGCUCAGGUCACGAUCUCGCGGUCUGUGAGUUCGAGCCCCGCGUCGGGCUCUGUGCUGACAGCUCAGAGCCCGGAGCCUGUUUCAGAUUCUGUGUCUCCCUCUCUCUGACCCUCCCCCAUUCAUGCUCUGUCUC